CUGAAUAAUUUUAAAUGGCUGCGGUAUUUUGACCGUACAAAGGUAGCAUAKUYMCUAGCUUUUUAAUUGGAAGCUUGUAUGAAUGGUUGAAUGAAAAAUUAACUUUUUUAUUAAUAAUAUUGAAUUUUACUUUUUAAUUAAAAGGUUAAAAUAUUUUUAAAAGACGAGAAGACCCUAUAGAGUUUUAUAAUUUAUUUUCUAUUGUUAAAAAAGGUUAAUUAUAUUAUUAUAAGAUAAAUUAUUUUAUUGGGGUGAUAGUAAAAUUUAAUUAACUUUUAUUUAUAAAUAUACAUUAAUAUAUGAUUUAUUGAUCCAAUAAUAUUGAUUAAAAAUUUAAAUUACCUUAGGGAUAACAGCGUAAUUUUUUUUUAAGUUCAUAUUAAUAAAAAAUUUUGCGACCUCGAUGUUGGAUUAAGAUUUAAUUUUAGGUGCAGCAGUUUAAAAUUUAAGUCUGUUCGACUUUUAAAUUCUU
rnacentral:rRNA from 1 species